CGAGACCUCAGGUCAGGCGGGGCUACCCGCUGAAUUUAAGCAUAUCAAUAAGCGGAGGAAAAAGAAACUAACAAGGAUUCCCUUAAUAACGG
rnacentral:rRNA from 1 species